AUGCUCGCUUCGGCAGUACAUGUACUAAAAUUGGAAAGAUACAGAGAAGAUUAGCGUGGCCCCUGCACAAGGAUGACAUGCAAAUUUGUGAAGCACUUCAUAUUAAA
ensembl:snRNA U6 U6 spliceosomal RNA